UCGGGAGGGCGGCUAAUACAACACCCUUCGGGGAAAUACACCCGCCGGCUACUAGCGGUUUCGAACCUCCCGACUUCCC
rnacentral:ncRNA from 1 species